AUUGAACGCUGGCGGCAGGCCUAACACAUGCAAGUCGAGCGGUAACAGAAAGAAAGCUUGCUUUCUUUGCUGACGAGCGGCGGACGGGUGAGUAAUGCCUGGGAAUAUACCCUGAUGUGGGGGAUAACUAUUGGAAACGAUAGCUAAUACCGCAUAAUCUCUGAUCUUUUACGAGAUGGGAGCAAAGAGGGGGACCUUUGGGCCUCUCGCGUCAGGAUUAGCCCAGGUGGGAUUAGCUAGUUGGUGGGGUAAUGGCUCACCAAGGCGACGAUCCCUAGCUGGUCUGAGAGGAUGAUCAGCCACACUGGAACUGAGACACGGUCCAGACUCCUACGGGAGCAGCAGUGGGGAAUAUUGCACAAUGGGGGAAACCCUGAUGCAGCCAUGCCGCGUGUAUGAAGAAGGCCUUCGGGUUGUAAAGUACUUUCAUGUG
rnacentral:rRNA from 1 species